AAGUCGUAACAAGGUCUCCGUUGGUGAACCAGCGGAGGGAUCAUUAAAGAGUUGCAAAACUCCCAACCAUUGCUAAACAACCACUGUUUCUUCGGUGGGUGGCCGCAUGGCCGCGCGCACCCCUCUCGGGGGGACGCACCCCGCCGGAGCACACCAAACUCUUGUCAUUAUUGAUGCUCUGAGUAAAAAACAAAAUUAUUACAACUUUCAACAAUGGAUCUCUUGGCUCUGGCAUCGAUGAAGAACGCAGCGAAAUGCGAUACGUAAUGUGAAUUGCAGAAUCCAGUGAAUCAUCGAAUCUUUGAACGCACAUUGCGCCCGCCAGUAUUCUGGCGGGCAUGCCUGUCCGAGCGUCAUUUCAACCAUCAAGCCUAGUGCUUGUGUUGGGGCCCCGCGGCUGCCGCGGGCCCUGAAAACUAGUGGCGGGCUCGAAGUCGAACCGAGUGCAGUAAAUUUCUUCGCUUGGGAAGGUGACGAGUUCCGGCCGUAAAAAGCCCAACUUUAUCAAGGUUGACCUCGGAUCAGGUAGGAUUACCCGCUGAACUUAAGCAUAUCAAUAAGCGGAGGAAAAGAAACCAACAGGGAUUGCCCCAGUAACGGCGAGUGAAGCGGCAACAGCUCAAAUUUGAAAUCUGGCUUCGGCCCGAGUUGUAAUUUGUAGAGGAAGCUUCUGGUGAGGCACCGUCCGAGUCCCCUGGAACGGGGCGCCACAGAGGGUGAGAGCCCCGUAUGGAUGGACGCCGAUCCUGUGUGAAGCUCCUUCGACGAGUCGAGUAGUUUGGGAAUGCUGCUCAAAAUGGGAGGUAAAUUCCCUCUAAAGCUAAAUACCGGCCAGAGACCGAUAGCGCACAAGUAGAGUGAUCGAAAGAUGAAAAGCACCUUGAAAAGGGGGUUAAACAGCACGUGAAAUUGUUGAAAGGGAAGCGCUUAUGAUCAGAACUCGGGCCCGUCGGAUCAUCCGGUGUUCUCACCGGUGCACUCCGGCGGUUCUGGGCCAGCAUCGGUUUUUGCGGGGGGACAAAGGUCCCGGGAACGUAGCUCCUCCGGGAGUGUUAUAGCCCGGGGCGUAAUGCCCUCGCGGGGACCGAGGACCGCGCUUCGGCAAGGAUGCUGGCAUAAUGGUCAUUAGCGACC
rnacentral:rRNA from 1 species